CCUACGGGAGGCUGCAGUGGGGGAUAUUGCACAAUGGGGGGAACCCUGAUGCAGCGACGCCGCGUGGGUGAAGGAGUGCUUCGGCAUGUAAAGCCCUAUCGGCAGGGAAGAAGCAAGACGGUACCUGACUAAGAAGCCCCGGCUAACUACGUGCCAGCAGCCGCGGUAAUACGUAGGGGGCGAGCGUUAUCCGGAUUCACUGGGUGUAAAGGGAGCGUAGACGGCCAUGCAAGCCAGGGGUGAAAGCCCGGGGCCCAACCCCGGGACUGCCCUUGGAACUGCAUGGCUGGAGUGCGGGGGGGGCAGGCGGAUGUCCAGGUGGGGCGAUGAAAUGCGUGGAUAUCAGGGGGAACACAGGCGGCGAAGGGGGCCGGCUGGACCGCGACUGAGGUUGAGGCUCGAAGGCGGGGGGGGCGAACAGGAUUGGAUACCCUUGUAGUC
rnacentral:rRNA from 1 species